UCUGAUGUUAGCGGCGGACGGGUGAGUAACACGUGGAUAACCUACCUAUAAGACUGGGAUAACUUCGGGAAACCGGAGCUAAUACCGGAUAAUAUUUUGAACCGCAUGGUUCAAAAGUGAAAGACGGUCUUGCUGUCACUUAUAGAUGGAUCCGCGCUGCAUUAGCUAGUUGGUAAGGUAACGGCUUACCAAGGCAACGAUGCAUAGCCGACCUGAGAGGGUGAUCGGCCACACUGGAACUGAGACACGGUCCAGACUCCUACGGGAGGCAGCAGUAGGGAAUCUUCCGCAAUGGGCGAAAGCCUGACGGAGCAACGCCGCGUGAGUGAUGAAGGUCUUCGGAUCGUAAAACUCUGUUAUUAGGGAAGAACAUAUGUGUAAGUAACUGUGCACAUCUUGACGGUACCUAAUCAGAAAGCCACGGCUAACUACGUGCCAGCAGCCGCGGUAAUACGUAGGUGGCAAGCGUUAUCCGGAAUUAUUGGGCGUAAAGCGCGCGUAGGCGGUUUUUUAAGUCUGAUGUGAAAGCCCACGGCUCAACCGUGGAGGGUCAUUGGAAACUGGAAAACUUGAGUGCAGAAGAGGAAAGUGGAAUUCCAUGUGUAGCGGUGAAAUGCGCAGAGAUAUGGAGGAACACCAGUGGCGAAGGCGACUU
rnacentral:rRNA from 1 species